rnacentral:rRNA from 1 species
UACUGAAGGUGCAAGCGUUAAUCGGAAUUACUGGGCGUAAAGCGCGCGUAGGCGGCUUGUUAAGUCGGAUGUGAAAGCCCCGGGCUCAACCUGGGAACUGCAUUCGAUACUGGCAAGCUAGAGUAUGGGAGAGGGCUGUGGAAUUUCUAGUGUAGCGGUGAAAUGCGUAGAUAUUAGAAGGAACAUCAGUGGCGAAGGCGGCAGCCUGGCCCAAUACUGACGCUGAGGUGCGAAAGCGUGGGGAGCAAACAGG